AACCUGAGUAACUCAAGUUAAGCGGUAAAGUGCAAAAGGUGGUUAGACGGCCUGCUCCAUUAUGGAGAGUUGUUAUUAAAAAUUAGGGAGCCUACCCCGAGGGGAAGGGGUGUAAUCCAGGUCUCCCUCGGAGGAAGGGGGGAAUGUUUCCUUUGGGCUGAGGCCACGGAACCGGGAAGCCGAAGACAUGGAUUUGAGACCCAUUUAUUACCGACGCAAACUUUGCUUUUCAGGCAGCUGCUUGGGGACUACGAGCGUGUGCUUAAAACUCAAAGAACUUGGCGGCUUGUUAACUACCUAGGGGAAUAUGUGCCUUAAUCCGAUGAUCCCCGUCGCAUCUUACUAGGUCUUGAAAAAGUGCAGCUGGUGUAUUGCCGUUGUCAGCUUGUUGUUCGAGCAAGGAGUAACAGGCUCAAUGGAGCCGUAGCGAUUAUAUCGUUGGUGUCCGUGAAUUCAGGUCGUAAUACCGCCCACGGCCUAAGGGAGUAGGUGUUACAAUUUAGAUUUAAAAUACGGAUCUUUAUUUUGAAAUAUUAGGGUGAAGGUGAACUUAGGAGUAAGGGGGAAUUAAUAUGUUUCCCUGAACGUGAAUCUGGCUUGUGUACAAACUGCCCGUCGCUCUCGCCGAGAGGUGAGAUAAGUCGUA
rnacentral:rRNA from 1 species